GGCCGGGUGGCGGAACUGGCAGACGCGUAGGUCUCAAAAACCUAUGAGUGGUAACACUCAUGAGGGUUCGACUCCCUCCUCGGCCA
rnacentral:tRNA from 1 species